rnacentral:rRNA from 1 species
AGUUCGAUUAUGGCUCAGUUGAACGCUGGCGGGAUGCUUUACACAUGCAAGUCCGAACGGCAACGGUUUCGGUCUGGUGGCGAGUGGCACGAACGGGUGAGUAAUGUAUCGGAACGUGCCUAGUAGCGGGGAUAACUACGCGAAAGCGUAGCUAUUACCACGCCACGCCCCUUCCGGGGAAAGCGGGGGACCUUCGGGCCUCGCACUAUUAGAGCGGCUGAUAUCGGAUUAGCUAGUUGGUGGGGUAACGGCUCACCAAGGCGACGAUCCGUAAACUGGUUUGAGAGGACGACCAGCCACACUGGGACUGAGACACGGCCCAGACUCCUACGGGAGGCAGCAGUGGGGAAUUUUUGGACAAUGGGGGAAACCCUGAUCCGGCACUCCGCGUGUGCGUGGGGCCUUCAGGUUUAAUAAGCACUUUUGGCAGGAAAGAAACGGCACGGGAUAAUACCCCGUGCAACUGACAGUACCACCGAUCAGCACCAGCCCUAACUACGUGCCAGCAUACGGUAAUACGUAAAUUCAAGCGUUAAUCGGAAUUACUGGGCGUAAAGCGUGCGCAGGCGGUUCGGAAGAAAAGAUGUGAAAUCCCAGAGCUUAACUUUGGAACUGCAUUUUUAACUACCGAGCUUCAGAGAGUGUGUCAGAGGGAGGUGGAAUUCCGCGUGUAGCAGUGAAAUGCGUAGAUAUGCGGAGGAACACCGAUGGCGAAGGCAGCCUCCUGGGAUAACACUGACGCUCAUGCACGAAAGCGUGGGGAGCAAAACCCCAGGGAUUAGAUACCUGGUAGUCGCCUAAACGAUGUCAGCAGCUGUCUUUGGGGCCUUUGGGCGCUUGGUAGCGCAACUAACGCGUGAAGUUGACCGCCUGGGGAGUACAGUCGCGAAUUAAAACUCAAGGAAUUGACGGGGACCCGCACAAGCGGUGGAUGAUGUGGUUAAUUCGAUGCAACGCGAAAAACCUUACCUACCCUUGACAUUGUCUGGAAUCCCGAAGAGAGAUUUGGGAGUGCUCGCAAGAGAACCGGAACACAGGUGCUGCAUAGCUGUCGUCAGCUCAUUGUCGUGAGAUGUUGGUUAAGGUCACAACAGUACCAGCCCUUGUCAUUGGUGCUACGAAAGGGCACUCUGGCGAGACUGCCGGUGACGCAAACCGGAGGAAGGUGGGGAUGACGUCAAGUCCUCAUGGCCCUUAUGGGUAGGGCUUCACCACGUCAUACAAUGGUCGGGACAGAGGGUCGCCAACCCGCGAGGGAACCAAUCCCAGAAACCCGAUCGUAGUCGGAUCGCAGUCUGCAACUCGACUGCGUGAAUGGAAUCGCUAAGCGUCGCGGAUCAGCAUGUCGCGGUGAAUACGUUCCCGGGUCUUGUACACACCGCCCGUCACACCAUGGGAGUGGGUUUUACCAGAAGUAGUUAGCCUAACCGUAAGGAGGGCGAUUACCACGGUAAGGAUUCAUGACUGGGGUGAAGUCGUAACCAAGGUAG